rnacentral:rRNA from 1 species
GACGAACGCUGGCGGCGUGCUUAACACAUGCAAGUCGAACGGUGAAGCUCCAGCUUGCUGGUGUGGAUCAGUGGCGAACGGGUGAGUAACACGUGUGCAACCUGCCCCUGACUCUGGAAUAAGCGCUGGAAACGGCGUCUAAUACUGGAUACGAGAAGGGUCCGCAUGGGCACUUUCUGGAAAGUUUUUCGGUUGGGGAUGGGCUCGCGGCCUAUCAGCUUGUUGGUGAGGUAAUGGCUCACCAAGGCGACGACGGGUAGCCGGCCUGAGAGGGCGACCGGCCACACUGGGACUGAGACACGGCCCAGACUCCUACGGGAGGCAGCAGUGGGGAAUAUUGCACAAUGGGCGAAAGCCUGAUGCAGCGACGCCGCGUGAGGGAUGACGGCCUUCGGGUGGUAAACCUCUUUCAGCAGGGAAGAAGCGAGAGUGACGGUACCUGCAGAAGAAGCACCGGCUAACUACGUG